rnacentral:rRNA from 1 species
CCCGGCUAACUACGUGCCAGCAGCCGCGGUAAUACGUAGGGGGCUAGCGUUAUCCGGAUUUACUGGGCGUAAAGGGUGCGUAGGCGGUCUUUCAAGUCAGGAGUGAAAGGCUACGGCUCAACCGUAGUAAGCUCUUGAAACUGGGAGACUUGAGUGCAGGAGAGGAGAGUGGAAUUCCUAGUGUAGCGGUGAAAUGCGUAGAUAUUAGGAGGAACCCCAGUUGCGAAGGCGGCUCUCUGGACUGUAACUGACGCUGAGGCACGAAAGCGUGGGGAGCAAACAGGAUUAGAUACCCUGGUAGUCCACGCUGUAAACG